rnacentral:rRNA from 1 species
AUUGAACGCUGGCGGCAUGCCUUACACAUGCAAGUCGAACGGUAACGCGGGGCAACCUGGCGACGAGUGGCGAACGGGUGAGUAAUGCAUCGGAACGUGCCCAGUUGUGGGGGAUAACUGCUCGAAAGAGCAGCUAAUACCGCAUACGACCUGAGGGUGAAAGCGGGGGAUCGCAAGACCUCGCGCAAUUGGAGCGGCCGAUGUCGGAUUAGCUAGUUGGUGGGGUAAAGGCUCACCAAGGCAACGAUCCGUAGCUGGUCUGAGAGGACGACCAGCCACACUGGGACUGAGACACGGUCCAGACUCCUACGGGAGGCAGCAGUGGGGAAUUUUGGACAAUGGGCGCAAGCCUGAUCCAGCAAUGCCGCGUGCAGGAAGAAGGCCUUCGGGUUGUAAACUGCUUUUGUACGGAACGAAACGGCGAGCUCUAAUACAGUUUGCUAAUGACGGUACCGUAAGAAUAAGCACCGGCUAACUACGUGCCAGCCGCCGCGGUAAAAC